GACGAACGCUGGCGGCGUGCUUAACACAUGCAAGUCGAACGGAAAGGCCCUGCUAUUGUGGGGUGCCCGAGUGGCGAACGGGUGCGUAUCACGUGUGUAACCUGCUCUUGACUUUGGGAUAACUUCAGGAAACUGGGCCUAAUACAGGAUAGGAGCUCCUGCUGCAUGGUGGGCGUUGGAAAGUUUCGGCGGGUGGGGAUGGACUCGCGGCUUAUCAGCUUGUUGGUGGGGUAGUGGCAUACCAAGGCUUUGACGGGUAGCCGGCCUGAGAGGGUGACCGGCCACAUUGGGACUGAGAGACGGCGCAGACUGCUAUGUUAGGCAGCAGGGGGAAAUAUUACACAAUGGUCGGAAGCCUGAUGCAGAGACGCCGCGUGCGGAAUGACGGCCUUCUGGGUGUAAACCGCUGUCGCCUGUGACGAAGCGGGAGUGACGGUAAUGAAUAAAUAAGCACCGGCUAACUACGUG
rnacentral:rRNA from 1 species